rnacentral:rRNA from 1 species
CAGCAGUGAGGAAGGUGGGUAUGUUAAUAGCAUAUCAUUUGACGUUAGCUGCAGAAGAAGCACCGGCUAACUCCGUGCCAGCAGCCGCGGUAAUACGGAGGGUGCGAGCGUUAAUCGGAAUUACUGGGCGUAAAGCGCAUGCAGGUGGUUUGUUAAGUCAGAUGUAGAAAGCCCGGGGCUCAACCUCGGAAUUGCUAUUUAGAAACUGGACAAACUAGAGUACUGUAGAGGGGGUAGGAAUUUCAGGUGUAGCGGUGAAAUGCGUAGAGAUCUGAAGGAAUACCGGUGGCGAAGGCGGCCCCCUGGACAGAUACUGACACUCAGAUGCGAAAGCGUGGGGAGCAAACAGGAUUAGAUACCCUGAUAG